AGAACGAACGCUGGCGGCAUGCCUAAUACAUGCAAGUCGAACGAGACCUUCGGGUCUAGUGGCGCACGGGUGCGUAACGCGUGGGAAUCUGCCCUUGGGUUCGGAAUAACAGUUGGAAACGACUGCUAAUACCGGAUGAUGACGUAAGUCCAAAGAUUUAUCGCCCAGGGAUGAGCCCGCGUAGGAUUAGCUAGUUGGUGGGGUAAAGGCCUACCAAGGCGACGAUCCUUAGCUGGUCUGAGAGGAUGAUCAGCCACACUGGAACUGAGACACGGUCCAGACUCCUACGGGAGGCAGCAGUGGGGAAUAUUGGACAAUGGGCGAAAGCCUGAUCCAGCCAUGCCGCGUGUGUGAAGAAGGUCUUCGGAUUGUAAAGCUACUUUAAGUGGGAGGUAAGGGUUGUAACUUAAUACGUUGC
rnacentral:rRNA from 1 species